ensembl:lncRNA MIR4435-2HG MIR4435-2 host gene
UUUUGUUCUGUCCUCAACGAACUGUCUAGAGCUGAUUGCUGAUAGUCGUGGUGCAUUAUGCCUUCCUGGUUUUCAUUUAAUUGGGCACCACGCUGCCUUUCAAGACGCCUUAAAGGAACCAACAACCAAAUCCAAGAGAGCUGGACAGACCAUUGAACACACAGUAGGCUGUGUCUCGUGGCUUUCGUUGUCUGGUGCCUCAAAGAAAACACCAGAAAGAUUGUUUCUAAGCUAGAGCCACCCCAGAUUGCUUAAAGUGCAAAGCUCACUGCUGUUGGGGGUACCCUUGUGAGACACUGGAAAGCUGGUUUUACCGUGGCCCUAUGAAGAGGAAGACUGAAAUUUAGACAGUAAUACCUUUACUAGGAUUGGAAAAGAUUUGGUUAAUGACAGCCCUGUCAUUUCUAAAACCCAUUAUCACUGUAUGAGAGAUUCCUUUGCGCUGCAUCCUCGACAGUGCUUCCUAAGGCUCUGCCGACUUCCAGUUCUGGAACAAGAUGGUUAAACUCAUUUUUCCCUGCUCUGCUCCUCUAAAUACAACUAAGUACCUUGGAAACUAUUCAGCAGACAAUGAUAAAGGGCUCUGAAAGCUAGAAGAAAAGGUGUACUUGCAAGAAACCUCAGGACUUGAGUAACAGCAACAUGGAGUGCUUCUGAUGGCUUCUGGUCCAUAGCCUGCCUCUGUCUCUGCCCUGCCAACUCCGUGCUCUGUCUCAACGUUGCACCUGAAACUGUGCCUGCCAUGGGGUGGGUAUUCAGUAGCCAACUGAUGAAUGAAUCAAUGAAUAAAUGAGCAGAUAAAUGAAUGGGCAGGAAAGCUCCUCCUGUCACUCUCUACACUAACAUGUAGGAAGUGUUGGAGGGACACACGUUAGUGGAUGUCGGUCACUUAGUCCUGAUAAAACAGAGUAGAUGGUUUUCUUAGUAGGAGAUCUUGAGGGCUCUUCUGUGAAGCCUCUUGUGGAACCAGUGAAGUACCUGAAAGGAAAGGAGAAAGAGACUACCUACUGCAUUUCUGUCACUCGCUGAAAAGGACACUCUGUCAGAAAAUCUUCUAGCAAACUUCAAAGGGCAAAAUCACCCCUUGUUACUGAUAAAGCCCAGAGAGCUUCAGCAGCUAACAUUCCCUGGACAGGGCACAGCAAGGAUUUGAACCUAGGUCAGUCUGGCCAGAACACCCACAAGCUUUCCUUAACUCAGUGUGCUAUCUCCCCACGACUAGGUCACUACUGCUUUAUAAUCACCUUUGUAGCCACCAGUGGAUUUUGCUCAUCAGUAUUUUUCAGGCAAUUGAUACUUUAGAUAUUCAGCUGCAAGACGUAUGCAGUUUUC